UUAUGUAAAAUCAGUUCACUUUUUUUUAAUCUAUUUUUUAAAACUUAUAUGGGUACAUUUUUCUCGUUGAUUUGAAAAUGUAUUCACGUCAAGUUAUUCGAAGAAAUUUAUUAAUGUUAUUAAACCUAGUAUUCAUUAUUAUUAUUUUUCAUGGAUUUGAAGAAUGUACCCAUGUUUUCGGUUUGAAGAAUUUACCAAAUGUUUUAUGGUACAAUAACUUUUGGUUUAUAUUGAUGAAUGUACUAUAUAUAUGUACACAAUAUGUUUUACAAUAUGUGUGUACAUACUUUUUAUGGCAAAACAUGAUUUUCAACACCUGGCAGAAAUGACUUAUUUCAUCUAUAAUAUUAUAUUCAAAAUUAGGCCUUGUAAAAUUCUGUAAAUAGAAGGCAAUUUCAUUCAUUUAGGGGAACCAAAAACCACAUAUUCAAAAUCCUUGAAGCUUUGAAACUCUAAAGCUCUCAAGCAAAUCCCGAAGAAUCAAGAAAGCCCUCUUCGUUCUUCGUCAAAUCCUCAUCCAAGAUCAAGCCCCGACGGCCCUUGGAUCAACAAUCCACCAAUUCAAGAUCAAGCCCCGACGACCCUUGAAGAAAUUGUUCAUCGUUCGUCAUUCAUUCAUCCUAAGAUCAAGCCCCAACGGCCCUUUGGAUCAACAAAUGUCGACAAAGCCAUACAUCCAACCGUUCUUCAAGAUCAAGCCCAAAAGCUCUUGAAGAUCCGUUCAUCACCGUUCUUCAAGAUCAAGCCUCAACGGCCCUUGAAGAAACACUCAUCCUCAAGAUCAAGCCUCAACGACCCUUGAAGAAACAAUCAUCCUCAAGAUCAAGCCCCAACCGCUCUUUGAAGAUCCGCUCAAAUCCACUUUCAAAGAUCAAGCCCACGGCCCUUGAAGAAACUUUCAACCGUUCAUCCAAGAUCAAGCCUCAACGGCCCUUGGAUCAAUCGCACAUCCACAUUCAACACCUUACGGAGAUCGAAUCAGAGGAUCCUAAAAUUCACAAAUACAUUUCUCUACUCCCAAAAUGGAAGAGAAUACUCCCCACAUAUCCAAAAUCCUUGAAGCUUUGAAACUCUAAAGCUUUCAAGCAAAUCCCGAAGAAUCAAGAAAGCCCUCUUCGUUCUUCGUCAAAUCCUCAUCCAAGAUCAAGCCCCGACGGUCCUUGAAGAAAUUGUUCAUCAUUCAUCAUUCAUUCAUCCUAAGAUUAAGCCCCAACGGCCCUUUGGAUCAACAAACGUCGACAAAGCCAUACAUCCAACCGUUCUUCAAGAUCAAGCCCAAAAGCCCUUGAAGAUCCAUUCAUCACCGUUCUUCAAGAUCAAGCCUCAACGACCCUUGAAGAAACACUCAUCCUCAAGAUCAAGCCCUAACGGCUCCUUGAAGAUCCGCUCAAAUCCACCUUCAAAGAUCAAGCCCAUGGCCUUUGAAGAAACUUUCAACCGUUCAUCCAAGAUCAAGCCUCAAUGGCCCUUGGAUCAAUUGCACAUCCACAUUCAACACCUUACGGAGAUCGAAUCAGAGGAUCAAAUUUGAGAGAGAUUGUAAACCCAAAAUCAUCAAAUACAAAUAUUAUUUUGUGCACGUGUUCUUGUUUCUUUCAUUUAAGGAAAAAUUCGUGUUCACAAAUUUGGCACGCACGGUGGGACUAUCUCUACCUCUCAUCUCUUUCUCCGUUCAAGAAAUUCAAGCACACUUCCAAAAUCAAUGGCAUCAAGCAAAGGAUAAGCCGUUAUCAUAAAGGGAAGAAGCCUGAUCACUUCCGCCAUGAACGGAGCAUCCAUUGACGCCACAAUCGCUCCUCAACAUGCCACUUCAAAGUUGGUGCCACUAAAGGAUCAAGGGGAGCAUCAAAGACGCAAGUCCGUUAUCAACCUGACCUCGUUGGGGGCACCGAAGCAUGAUGCUGAGGCACAUAAGAUGACAUCCCAAAGCAGCCAACGACGUUCUUCGUCAGCAUCCUGGAUGUCUAAAGGAAAGUCACAUCUAUUGGUUGCACAAGUCAUGACUAUCGGCAUUACCUCAAUCGAAGAACAACUGGCUCAAAUGAAUGAAGCGAUUGCAAGGCUAACACAGAUUGUGGAAGAAAAAGACUUGCAAAUCGAUGCACUCGUCAACCGACUGGAGCCACAGGACGGCGAGAACCCUAACCCAGAAGAUGAUCCACUAAAAAAAGGAGCUGGCGAAGAAGAUGAGCCUUUGGUGGAGAGAAUCGAUGUGAAGCCGAAGCCAGACCAAGCAGCGGCACUCAUGGGAUCUCUUUCUAUCCAGCAGCUGCAGGAGAUGAUCACUAACACCAUCAAGGCACAGUACGAAGGGAGCUCAAAUACCUCCGGGUUGUACUCGAAGCCUUAUUCAAAGAAGAUUGACGCCUUAAGGAUGCCGAAGGGUUAUCAACUGCCAAAGUUCAUGCAAUUUGAUGGAAAGGAAACCCGAAACAGCACGUUGCCCACUUUGUUGAAACUUGCAACAACGCAGGGACCGAAGGGGACUACCUCGCCAAGCAGUUUAUGCGUUCGCUGAAAGGAAACGCCUUUGAGUGGUACACAGACCUAGAGCCUGAGUCCAUCAACAGCUGGGAGCAAAUGGAGCAAGAAUUCCUCAACCGCUUCUACAGCACCCGCCGCACUGUGAGCAUGCUAGAGCUAACGAGCACAAAGCAGUGGAAAGACGAGCUAGUCAUUGACUACAUCAACAGAUGGCGCACUCUAAGCCUCGAUUGUAAAAAUAGGCUCUCGGAAACCUCUUCAAUCAAGAUGUGCAUCCAAGGCAUGCAAUGGGGUUUGCAAUACAUCCUUCAAGGCAUUAAACCACGGACCUUUGAGGAAUUGGCCACUCGCACCCAUGACAUGGAGUUAAGCAUCGCUCAUCAUGGGAAGAAAGAACCAAUCGCCGACUACAAGAAUGACAAAGUUGUUGGGCCAAAGGUGGAGAAGACUGCAUAGAAACCCACCAAGGAAGCAAUGACGAUCAACACAGCUCCCGUCAAAAUCCCUACACGAGGCAAGGCGAUUCAAGCCGAAGCUUUUCCUGAUCAAGAGAUGCGUAGACGCACUUUAAAGGAGCUUGAUGAGAAGACUUAUCCAUUCCCUGACUCUGAUGUGGUUGCCAUGCUGGAUGACCUAUUGGACAAGAAAGUGAUCGGUAAAUUCCACCGCUUCAUCAGUCAUCCGACAGAAAAGUGCUUCGUGCUGAAAGAUCUCAUCAUGAAGCUGGCUCAGAAAGGAAUCAUUAAGCUAGAUCUUGACGAUGUGGUGAAGUCAAACUAUACCACCAUCACUUCUGGCUCUUUCGACUCAAAGUUUUUACCUCAACUGUCGGGGGCAUUCUCCAAGACAAGCAAAGUUGAAGGAUGGACUCAAGUCACUCCUAAGAAAUUGCACAAGAAGCAUACGUCUCCUCCACAAGUCCGCCAAUCAGAAAGGGGGCAAAGCAGCUCUUGUCAACCUUCAAAGCAACGUGAACGUGUUGAAGAUGAUGAAAUUUUGACACACAGAUCGUCCAUCCCCAUCACGAUGCACGAUUUCUUUCCUGAAGACUUCUUCAAUCACUCGGUCAAGACUCCUUAUUAUGAAAAUUGCAAGGAAUGCCUCUCCAGGAUCGUUUAACAAGUUCACAAAGCUCCUUGUCCACAAGAACCUAAACUGCAGAACACCAACGCUCCUGGUCUGCACGAGCAUAAAAGGCAACACCAACGCUCCUGGUCUGCACGAGCAUAAAAGGCAACACCAACGCUCUUAGUCCGCACGAGCCUAAAAGGCGACAAAACAAACGCUCCUUGCUUGCACGAGCCUAAACUGCAUGGCACAACACUCCUGGUCUGCACGAGCAUAAAAGGCAACACCAACGCUCCUGGUCUCCAUGAGCAUAAAAGGCAACAUCGAUGCUCCUGGUCUGUACGAGCAUAAAAGGCGACACCAAUAGCUCAUUGCUUGCACGAGUUGAAAUUGCAAAACGGAACCAAAAGAAAAUACCAAAUAUAUAUAUAUAUAUAUGUAUUUGAACUACGUUACGACUUGAUCUCUUCUUUUGAGGGGUACGUAGGCAGCUCGAAUAUUCAAAAUUUGAGUUAAGUCAAACCAAAAUAAGGAAUAAAGAUUUUAUUAAAAGUUUGAUGCUAUUACAAUUUCUUUGUACAAAAAAAAAAAAAAGAAGAAGAAAAAAAAAAAAAAAAAAAAAGAUACAUGUUUUAUGUAUUUACAAAAAAAGAAAAAAAAAGAAAAAAUACAUAUGUUUUAUGUAUUAAUAUAUAUAAUAUAUAUAUAAUAUAUAUAUAUAUAUAUAUAAUAUAUAUAUAUAUAUUUAUAUAAGUGGCCACAAGAAGCAACCCCUUUAGCCAAAAUUCUACAAGCGGCUCCUAGAGCCCAAUCUGUCAGCAAGUCAAAGACUACUUCUCCAAGGUUCAGGACACGGCCCACACUAGUUUUGGCCCAAUCAAAGGUCAGAGUGAGGUGGGCAUCUUAAAUCCUCCAGAAUCCAAGGGUGCAGAGCAAUAAGAGAAAGAGGCCCUUGUUUGCCCUCUCGAUGUUCCUCCAAAAAUCCUUGUAAGUGCAGUAACAGAUCUCGCUUCAUUUUCUGCACCUCCGUCGCGGCAAUAAGAAAGAUCCUUCACAUCCAGGAAGACUAAUGCGGCAAUCAGAUCAGCUCCAAGUUCUGAGAGGUCAUCUGUGACGAGCCCAACGUUGACCCCACUGGAAGGUACCGCGGAGACAUCGACUCCGAUCUCCAGCUCGAGAGGAAUACCAUGAUUGAUCAGGUCUCAACGCUCGAGCUCAUCAGAUACCACAUUUUCGGCGAGUUCUCACCAGUGAAGAGCUGCGCCACAAGGUCCAGUUCAUCAGUAUCAUCCGCAUGAGGAAGCAUAAUCUCGACGCCAGCCUUGAGCCUCGCUCCUAGCCGUGCGUUCUUGCGGUUUCAAAACCUCGUCCCCAUCAACGCCGUCACUUCUGAAGAUUCUGACGGUGAUGGUGCCACCAAAGGCUCUGUCUCUUUCACUGCAGCUGCAACUUCACUUGACGAUGAAGAAGAUGCAACUUUGGGAGUUAGAUACUGCGUAAAGCUCCCAUCCUCGCCCAGCGUUGCUCCUCGUCUUCCGCUGCAACUCCUUCACUCCAAGCUCAUCUGCAUGGCGCAUCACGAUCUCGUCCGUCUUUUCCUCUGCAAGGCAGCAAAAAAUGCAGUGGUUGUGCAAUGGCGACGGUGCAAGGCAACAAGAAUGCAGUGGCAAUGUAAUGGUUGUACAGUGGCGGUGCAAGGCAGCAAAAAAUGCAGUGGCUAUGUAAUGGUGGCGGUGCAAGGCAGCAAAAAAUGCAGUGGCAAGCAGCAACGACAAUGCAUUCUGGCCACCAUGAUCAAAAUCGACAAAGAACUUCAAAUAACCGCCGUCAAACGACUAGCCGAUCAUGAAGCUCGACGUCUUACAUUUUGCCUUAAGCUCUAGCAACUCCGCCAUCUCUGCAGCUCUCCCCUUCUGCCCAUCAACUCCAAGCAGCAACGGCAAGCGACAAGGUCAAUGUGCAUGGCAAAGGCACCACCGAGGGAAAACUGUGAUCAAAGGUACUACACAGCAAAUCCCCACUGCAGUCUUUAUCACAGCACCACACGGUAAAGGCACCACCGAGAGAAAACUGUGAUCAAAAGCACUACACAGCAUCGCUGCAGUCUUUUGCACAACCCCAUACGGUAAAAGUGACGCACUAUGACAAGCUCUAAGCACCAAGACUCACAGCAACGUCACCACCAAGGAAAGUUGUGACCAAAAGGCACUACACAACAUAAACUCGCUGCAGUCUUUUGCACAACCCCACAAGGUAAAAGUGACGCACUGUAACAAGCUCCAAGCGGUAACAGACAGUGCAGCGACUGCAAUGCAGCAAGGAUGGCAACGGACAGUGCAGCAAAGAUGGCAGAUAGUGCAGCGACGGUAGUGCAGCAAGGACAGCAGAACCUGAGCAACCUGGUUCAAUGCAUCUUCUUCUUCCUCUCUACUGUCGGUUUGGUUAAAAGUUAUGGCUCCGCUGCAAUGCGAUGAAAUAGGAGAAGGCAGUAAACCUUUUAUAAAGCCACAAAAGGCAAGCAUUCAUGCUCCUGAGUUCGCAGGAAUAAAAAAAAGAAUAAAAAAAGAAUAAAAAAAAUUAUAAAAGUAUAAUAGUGCACGGCACCAUAGAAAAAAAAUAUGUAUGAGGUCUUUGGUGCAUAGCACCAUCUUAAAAUAAUAAUAAUAAAAAAAAAGUGAAAGGUCUUUUGGUGCUUCACGCACCAUAAGGAUAAAAAAUAAUAAUAAAAAAAUAUAUAAGGGCAAAUAGAAUGGUGCAUCAGGCACCAUAUAUAUAUAUAUAUAUAUAUAUAUAUAUAUAUAUAUAUAUAUAUAUAUAAGGCCAAUUGGAAUGGUGCAUCAGGCACCACUCGGCGGAGCUCCAGGAAGAAGAGGCGCCGGAGGUUGACUAUUUGAAGCCACACCACUCGGCGGAACUCCAGGAAGAAGAGGAGCCGGAGGUUGAUCAUGUGGAGCUUCAUUACGCGAUACAGCCUCAGAAGACGAAGGCAAAUGCUGUUGGAACAUACCCACAAACCUCUGAUGAUCAAGUAAAAUCUGACCAUCAGAUUCCUGCAUCUGGUCAAUCUUCCUCUUCAUGUUUGUAGCAUAGUUAUGUGCGAGCUUGUGCAACUGUUUAUUCUCAUGCUUGAGCCCUCUAAUCUCUUGUUUGAGACUCAUCACUUCAGCCGCCAAUGAUUCAACUUGACGGGUUCGAGCAAAUAGGCGUUGGGCCAUAUUAGACACAGAACCUGCACACUGCACACUAAGAGCCAGAGAAUCCUUAACAGCCAACUCAUCAGACCGUUUGGAAAGUAGUCUGUUAUCUCUGGGAGUGACAAGGUUCCAGGCCACCACCGCAACGGUCAUAUCAUUCUUCAUCAUCGAAUCCCCAACGGUAAGAGGACCAGUAGGGGAUAUGAAAAAUAGACGCCAUAUGUUGUUUGGAGAAGGCAUGGCUGCCUCUUCACCAAGGUUCAAGUCAAAAUGACGGUCGGAGGGGCCAAACAUUUUCAGAUAUGUUAAAGAAAGAAGAGGUCGGACAAGUCAAGAUCGUAGAAAUGCAAGAAGGGAGUUUCUACAAGCAGAAAUUCAAGUGUGCUUUGAACGUACUGCGUGCCUCUAUAAAAAUCAGCACUCGACGGGAUUUCAGAGAUCGAAGAGGUGAUCUCAGAAUUCGAAAAGGCCAAUUAAAAAAUUGAAGAGGCAAGCUCAGAAAUCAGAAAGGCAUCUUGCUUUUCCAGACGCGUCAGCACCCGUCACACGCAAACUCAGCUUUGCGAAAAUCACGGGCAAUUUGUCGAAGCGCCGAUCCCAGAUAUCGAAGAGGCGCCAGUCUUUUUCAGCCUCGUCAACACCUGUCAGAUGCACAUUCAGCUUGGCGGAAAUUACGGACAAUUUGUCGAAGAUUUCUGAUGAAGAAGAAAACACGUGAAGCCAUACUGAUCAACCACUCAAUGGUUGCCGACACGAGUGAAAGAAUAGUACCUCUACAGGUAUUAAAGAACUUCCUAUAACUGUCCACCUUCACCCUCCAUAGCAAGGUAGACAUACGGAACCUUUCUUCAUCUCCGAGAAUGCCUUCCCAACGAAGCCUUUCUAGUCAUUCAGUGUUCCUUAUUCCUUGGGGUACCUCUGCAAACAAAUGACACCAAAGCAAAAGUAUCUCAUAUCACCAGGGUAGAAAGCAAGAGUAUCUCAUAUCAUGCGUUCUCCCUGUCCUUUCCUUUGUCAUUGUUCUUACCUGCAAACACAAGGAUAAAGAAAGCAAUAUGCCGGAACCUCCACUCAAACUCGGGUAAGGAACCGACUGCUUGAAACCCUUCCCUGAUUGCCUACCUAACACUGCUCUCGAGUACUCGUCUUCCACUGUUGCUGUACUUCCAAAGAAGCUGCCAUAUCUUCCUGGAGAACAGAUAAAGCAAGUGGAAAUGAUACAUUGCAGCAUGUGGAGACAACAUGCAAAAGAAACAAGCAGAGAAGAAUGCAGCCUGCACAGCCAACUCAGCAGAAGGAGUCCGAGCUGAGGAACUCAAGAAGUUGCCACAUCUGCCUGGAGAACAAAUAAGGAAAUGCGGCAUGCAUAAUAAACUCAGCAGAAGGAGUCCGAGUUGAAGAAUUAGUAAGAAGAAGGGGUCUGAGUUGAAUCCAAGAGCUCGAGAAGCUUCAACAACAUAUCGACGGCACCAUCACCGAAGAGCAAAGCCUCGAUAUGCAACGCUGUCAAAUCGCCACCACUUAUUCGAAAGUAAGAGUAUUUCAUAUCAUGCUUUCUCCCUGUCAUUUUCUUUGUCCUUGUUCUUACCUGCGGGACAAGGAGGAAAAAAGCAAUCAGCCAGCACUUGGUGUCAAACUCCCAGUCAGGAACCGACUGCUUAGAACCCUUCCCUGAUUGCUUACCUAGCACUACUCUCGAAGUACCCAUUAUCUCAACAUCUUAUGUUUCCAGAGAAGAUACCACAUCUGCUUGAAAAAACAAGCAGAGAAGAAUGCAGCCUGCACAGUCAAUUCAGCAGAAGGAGUCUGAGCUGAGGAACUCGAAAAGAUGCCACAUUCUGCCAGAAGAAUAGAUAAGGCAAAGGAAAAUGAUACAUUGAAGCAUGUGGAGACAAGCACAACAAAGCAUGUGCUGAUUCACCCGCAACUUCUUCAAAAGCAAAAGUACCUCAUAUCAUCAGAGUCGAAAGCAAAGAUAUCUCAUGGCAUGCUUUUCCUUUACCCUUGCUCUUGCCUGCAGGACAAGUAGAAAGAAAGCAAUCGGUCGGCACUCGGAAAGAUUGAAGAAAGAAACAGACCAACACCUUCACCUCGUGCCUGCUUACCAUGUGUUCGAGUCAACCUUCAAGAAUCAAGCCUCAACGGCCCUUGAAGAAGCUUCCAGCCAAAUUCAAGAUCAAGCCUCGAAGGCCCUUGAGGAAAUCACAAGUCCGAUUCAAGAUCAAGUGUCCACCACCAUUGAAUCAAACCUAGUUCAAGAUCAAAGCUGUGGUAAGUCAACAAGCGCAAAAACAAAUACGUGCCAAUUCAUCCACUACCAAAGCCAAAGAUCGUCUACCACAUGAAGCUCCUUGUGGUCCAAUUUCAACCUUCAAGAUCAAGCCUCAACGGCCCUUGAAGAAAUCUCAAGCCCAAUUCAAGAUCAAGCCUCGACGACCCUUGAAGAAAUUUUCAGCCCAAUUCAAGAUCAAGCCUCAACGGCCCUUGAAGAAAUCUCAAGCCCAAUUCAAGAUAAAGCCUCAACGGCCCUUGAAGAAAUCUCCAGCCCAAUUCAAGAUCAAGCCUCGACGGCCCUUGGAUCGACAUCUACAUUAAGGGACUUCAAAACGCAUCUCCUACACGCGACAAGCACAUGUAUAUGACGUGCCUUGAAGUGGGGGCAUUUGUAGACAUCGAAAUUUCGGUAAAUAAAUGUUGAUCGAUAAAUCAAAGUUUCAACGUUCAUGUAUUACAUAAAUUUUACACGUAGCGUGUGUCUAAACAAAAAUUUGAAAUAAGUUGGAAAAGUCAUCAAACAGGACACGUGUCAACACCUGGCAGAAAUGACUUAUUUCAUCUGGAAUAUUAUAUUCAAAAUUAGGCCUUGGAAAAUUCUAUAAAUAGAAGCCAAUUUCAUUCAUUUAGGGGAACCAAAAACCACAUAUCCAAAAUCCUUGAAGCUUUGAAACUCUAAAGCUCUCAAGCAAAUCCCGAAGAAUCAAGAAAGCCCUCUUCGUUCUUCGUCAAAUCCUCAUCCAAGAUCAAGCCCCGACGGCCCUUGGAUCAACAAUCCACCAAUUCAAGAUCAAGCCCCGACGGCCCUUGAAGAAAUUGUUCAUCGUUCAUCAUUCAUUCAUCCUAAGAUCAAGCCCCAACGGCCCUUUGGAUCAACAAACGUCGACAAAGCCAUACAUCCAACCGUUCUUCAAGAUCAAGCCCAAA
rnacentral:lncRNA from 1 species